ACCCCUAUCAUCUAGUGGAUUAGGACAUCUCUUUUUCAAGGAGGCAACAUGGAUUCGACUUCCCCUAGGGGUA
rfam:Picea glauca, whole genome shotgun sequence.